CCUUCAAAUUGUUUUUAAAGUUUUUUUUAACUUGCUUUUUAAAGUCUAUAAUAGUUAUAAUAUAUAAUGAAAUACUAAUUGUUAAUAAUGAAACUAAAUGAACAACUAAUUUUUGUUCGUUGUCAUUUGAUUUCCUAAAACAAAAAUGUCUUCACAAGUUUAGUGUCAACAACCUUUACUAAAACCGCAUCUCAAAAUUCUACAAUUUCCUCUUAAUUUAUCUACAUUGUAAUAGUAAGUUUUUCAACAGUGAAUACUUUACAAUAGUGAACGCUUAUCUGUAACAACAUACAGCAUACUACCGUUAGAGGAUUGUGAUUGACAUUUCAAAGUGUGGGUCGGUCUUUUAUAAAUGGCAACAAGUAAUUUGUUUUUAAAGAAAUCAGUUUUACUUAAAUACUAAAGAGGUUCACACAAAAUUUUAAGAGAUAUGACUCUGAAACUCGCUUUUGUUUUGUUUUUCUUUCACAUCAACGGUAUGCUCAAAUCCUUUCCAGUUUUUACCGGCAAAAGUAACGACUGCUUGACUGUGCCGUAUAAUGUAACAGUUACCACAAAGGGGUGUGAUGAUUAUAUAUUACUGAGCAGCAUGUGCACAGGCUUUUGCACUUCGUUGUACAAGUAUGAUCCGAUUUUGGAAAAAAAAGAAUCAAUAUGUGUAGUAUGCAAACCAGUUACAUCGCAAAAAAAAAUUUUUCUAACUUGUGCAGGAGAAGUAAAGAUAAAACAGGUUGAAGUGUAUGACGUUUGUCAGUGUGAAACUUGCAUUUCCAACAAAAACUAAGUUUGUAUUCCAACUUUGAAUUGGUAUUAAUAUAAGGAGGAAGAAUCAGAUAAGUCUUUAUAGCAUCAAUUUCUUUAUCAGUUUUUUUUAGAAAGCUAUAAAGAAAAAUGAAAAAGAAAACUAUCAAAAUGGCGCAACGCUCUUACACCCAAUUCUGUAAAUAUACAAAUAUGCUUGCAUGUAUAUAUUAACAUAUAUGUUAUGUAAAAUAAUGGUUUUUUUACGUAAUACAGUUUUAACAUUAAGAUUCGAGUUGAAAAAAAUAUAUUAAUAUUUAUGUUAA